rnacentral:rRNA from 1 species
GUGGGGAAUAUUGGACAAUGGGGGCAACCCUGAUGGAGCGACGCCGCGUGGAGGAUAAGGUCUUCGGAUUGUAAACUCCUGUCAUGCGUGAACAAGGUUGCUUGGUUAAUACCUGGGCAAAUUGAUGGUAACGCAAGAGGAAGAGACGGCUAACUCUGUGCCAGCAGCCGCGGUAAUACAGAGGUCUCAAGCGUUGUUCGGAAUCACUGGGCGUAAAGGGUGCGUAGGUGGCGUGGUAAGUCAGAUGUGAAAGCCCGGGGCUCAACCUCGGAACUGCAUCCGAUACUGCCAUGCUAGAGUACUGGAGAGGUGACUAGAAUUCUCGGUGUAGCAGUGAAAUGCGUAGAUAUCGAGAGGAAUACCAAAGGCGUAGGCAGGUCACUGGACAGUUACUGACACUGAGGCACGAAGGCCAGGGGAGCGAACGGGAUUAGAAACCCGUGUAGUCC